rnacentral:lncRNA from 1 species
AAGGUCUUGUCAAACACAAAAAUAUAAUUAAUGAAUUCUUUUCUCAUCCCUCCAUUCUAUUUGUUUGUAAACAUCACUUUGUACAAAAUACAUAUGCAUACAAAAAGGGCUCCCUAGAAGUACCUAGGAUACUUUGGGUGCUAACACAUUCCCUCUGCGUAACCAACCCCCUUACCUGUGAUCUCUAUUUUUUAUUAGUUUUUGUUUGAAAACUUCUUACUUUUUGGGUUUUGUUCGUACUUUUUC